GAAACAAAUUAGCUCAGUUGGUUAAAGCAUGGUGCUGAUAACACCACGUUUGUGUGUUCAAUACCCAUAUUCUUGCA